rnacentral:lncRNA from 1 species
ACCAAGAAACGCAACGCACUCUAAGGUGAGUAUACAUGACCCAUUUUCGUUUUACACUUUUGGGUUGAUGUUCAAGAAAUAAAGAAAUCAAGCUAGGAUGGAACUAGAAACCCAUUUUAGCAUAGUAUUUUAUUAUGUUUGGUUUAUGAUGUACUUGAAAACAAUGUAUUCCAUUUGAUAUUUAUGAAAUGAAUUUAAAUCAUAUUGUC